UACGGAGGGUGCAAGCGUUAUCCGGAUUCACUGGGUUUAAAGGGUGCGUAGGUGGGUUGGUAAGUCCGUGGUGAAAUCUCCGAGCUUAACUCGGAAACUGCCGUGGAUACUAUCAAUCUUGAAUACUGUGGAGGUAAGCGGAAUAUGUCAUGUAGCGGUGAAAUGCUUAGAUACGACAUAGAACACCGAUAGCGAAGGCAGCUUGCUACACAGUCAUUGACACUGAGGCACGAAAGCGUGGGGAGCAAACAGG
rnacentral:rRNA from 1 species